rnacentral:rRNA from 11 species
UCCACAUGUUAGGUCUUUGUGGUCCGGCCUGCUCACUGAGUAAAUUUAUAUUACUUAAAGAGCCGCGGUAAUUUGACCGUGCAAAGGUAGCAUAAUCAGUAGUCUUUUUAAUUGAAAACUAGAAUGAAAGGUUAAACAAAAGAACAACUGUCUCUUUACAAUUAACUGAAUUUAACUUUCAAGUGAAAAGGCUUGAAUGCCUUAAGGGGACGAUAAGACCCUAUAAAGCUUUAUAACAUUAGUCUUAUCUUCUAAAAAUAAAACAACAUGGGAAGUGAUAAGUGUUAUUUUAUUGGGGCGAUAGCGAUAUAAGUAAUUGUAACUGUUGAAAACUUAAACACUAAUGUAUGAUGGGAAAGAGGUCCUUUGUUGAAGAUUUUAAGACAAAGUUACUUUAGGGAUAACAGCGUUAUAUCUUUUGAGAGUCCCUAUCGAAAAAGAAGAUUGCGACCUCGAUGUUGAAUUAAAUGAUCUCUGUGGCGCAGC